rnacentral:lncRNA from 1 species
GUGAGUGGCUAGGCGGAAAUGAUCCUAAUGCGUAUUUUGUGGAUCGCAAAAGUUAUGUUAAUGUCAUAAUAUUGCCAUUUAGGAAUGAUUUGGGUAGGUAUGAACCGGAAAAUGGAAUUGGAGCAAAAAAAUGUUUCAUAUGUAAUCAAAAGAUGAUUGUUGGCUAAGAUGUGGCAAUGCUACACCCAAAUACUUCAACUUCUGGAAAUAUACUGUGCUGCUCUCGUGCAAACUUUAAGGUAUCGAGAUAAGGGUCUCCGAAGGCCUUGGUAUCAACUCAAGGUAAAAACUUUACUACAUCACUUAACAUGUUUAGUAAUAAG